GAUGAACGCUGGCCGCGUGCCUAAUACAUGCAAGUCGAGCGAACAGAUGAGGAGCUUGCUCCUCUGACGUUAGCGGCGGACGGGUGAGUAACACGUGGAUAACCUACCUAUAAGACUGGGAUAACUUCGGGAAACCGGAGCUAAUACCGGAUAAUAUAUUGAACCGCAUGGUUCAAUAGUGAAAGACGGUUUUGCUGUCACUUAUAGAUGGAUCCGCGCCGCAUUAGCUAGUUGGUAAGGUAACGGCUUACCAAGGCAACGAUGCGUAGCCGACCUGAGAGGGUGAUCGGCCACACUGGAACUGAGACACGGUCCAGACUCCUACGGGAGGCAGCAGUAGGGAAUCUUCCGCAAUGGGCGAAAGCUUGACGGAGCAACGCCGCGUGAGUGAUGAAGGUCUUCGGAUCGUAAAACUCUGUUAUUAGGGAAGAACAAAUGUGUAAGUAACUAUGCACGUCUUGACGGUACCUAAUCAGAAAACCACGGCUAACUACGU
rnacentral:rRNA from 1 species